GACGAACGCUGGCGGCGUGCUUAACACAUGCAAGUCGAACGGUGAAGGGACCGGUUUUUGCUGGUUCUGGAUGAGUGGCGAACGGGUGAGUAACACGUGAGUAACCUGCCCCCUUCUUCUGGAUAACCGCAUGAAAGUGUGGCUAAUACGGGAUAUUCUGCGCCUGCUGCAUGGUGGGUGUGGGAAAGAUAUUGUUUCGGUGGGGGAUGGGCUCGCGGCCUAUCAGCUUGUUGGUGGGGUGAUGGCCUAGCAAGGCGGUGACGGGUAGCCGGCCUGAGAGGGUGGACGGUCACACUGGGACUGAGACACGGCCAAGACUCCUACGGGAGGCAGCAGUGGGGAAUAUUGCACAAUGGGCGCAAGCCUGAUGCAGCGACGCCGCGUGAGGGAUGGAGGCCUUCGGGUUGUAAACCUCUUUCGCCAGUGAAGCAGGCCUGUCCCUUUUGUGGGUGGGUUGACGGUAGCUGGAGAAGAAGCGCCGGCUAACUACGUG
rnacentral:rRNA from 1 species